rnacentral:rRNA from 1 species
AUAUCAUACCACCCUGAAUACACCCCAUCUUGUCUGAUUUCAGAAGCUAAGCAGGGUCAGGCUUUGUUAGUACUUGGAUGGGAGAUACAUAUUUUAUAAAUAUA